rnacentral:ribozyme from 1 species
UUUAUUCCAUAUUUUUAUUUUAUUUUUAUUUCUUUGUCCUUUUCUUACCUUUUUGAUUAUCAUUUUAUAUAC